rnacentral:misc_RNA from 1 species
UCCUGAAAUUGUUUCUCAGUUGGCCAGGUUUAUCAAAUAUCAGCUUCACGUUUCUCCUAUUAGACCUGAGCGGACUGCAGCAAAUGUGUUCAGCUCUCCAUCACUGGAACAGUUCUUUGGAUGUGUUUGAUGCUUCACCAGUAAAACGUCAAAGUAUAAACCUAAAAAAUAGAUUUUUCUUUAUGUUCAAACUGAUUAUAGCUCAAUGUUCUCUAGAAACCCUUCUGCAGUUGUUGAUUUUCCAAUGAGAAGUGGCCCCAAAUUCCAUUAUUUUGUUUAAAUUUUGUGCAUUAGAUCUGGUCAUAUGUGAACCUUUUUUAGACUGGAAAUUUCGCUAAAAGGAUUGAUUGUAUGUAAUUUCUAUCAGUUACAGGAUUCGUAAUCGUUGACAAUAAUUCUGGUGUUCCUAUUUGCAAGUGAAAAUAG